GCACCCUUAGCUCAGUCAGUUAGAGCACCGGCUUUACAUACCGGGGGUCGCUGGGGCAGAGCCAGCAGGGUGUA
rnacentral:tRNA from 1 species